rnacentral:rRNA from 1 species
UACGUAGGGUGCAAGCGUUGUCCGGAAUUAUUGGGCGUAAAGGGCUCGUAGGCGGUUCGUCACGUCGGGAGUGAAAACUCGGGGCUUAACCCCGAGCCUGCUUCCGAUACGGGCAGACUAGAGGUAGGCAGGGGAGAGCGGAACUCCUGGUGUAGCGGUGGAAUGCGCAGAUAUCAGGAAGAACACCGGUGGCGAAGGCGGCGAUCUGGGAAGAUACUGACGCUGAGGUGCGAAAGCGUGGGGAGCAAACAGG